rnacentral:rRNA from 1 species
CCAGACAGCCAGGAUGUUGGCUUAGAAGCAGCCAUCAUUUAAAGAAAGCGUAAUAGCUCACUGGUCGAGUCGGCCUGCGCGGAAGAUGUAACGGGGCUAAACCAUGCACCGAAGCUGCGGCAGCGACACUAUGUGUUGUUGGGUAGGGGAGCGUUCUGUAAGCCUGUGAAGGUGUACUGUGAGGUAUGCUGGAGGUAUCAGAAGUGCGAAUGCUGACAUAAGUAACGAUAAAGCGGGUGAAAAGCCCGCUCGCCGGAAGACCAAGGGUUCCUGUCCAACGUUAAUCGGGGCAGG